rnacentral:rRNA from 1 species
UAGGGAAUCUUCGGCAAUGGACGAAAGCCUGACCUAGCAACGCCGCGUGAGUGAAGAAGGUUUUCGGAUCGUAAAACUCUGUUGUUAGAGAAGAACAAGGACGUUAGUAACUGAACGUCCCCUGCCGGUAUCUAACCAGAAAGCCACGGCUAACUACGUGCCAGCAGCCGCGGUAAUACGUAGGUGGCAAGCGUUGUCCGGAUUUAUUGGGCGUAAAGCGAGCGCAGGCGGUUUCUUAAGUCUGAUGUGAAAGCCCCCGGCUCAACCGGGGAGGGUCAUUGGAAACUGGGAGACUUGAGGGCAGGAGAGGGGAGUGGAAUUCCAUGUGUAGCGGUGAAAUGCGUAGAUAUAUGGAGGAACACCAGUGGCGAAGGCGGCUCUCUGGUCUGUAACUGACGCUGAGGCUCGAAAGCGUGGGGAGCAAACAGG